rnacentral:rRNA from 1 species
UACGUAGGGGGCAAGCGUUGUCCGGAUUUAUUGGGCGUAAAGAGCGUGUAGGCGGCCAUGCAGGUCAGCUGUGAAAACUCGAGGCUCAACCUCGAGACGUCGGUUGAAACCGUAUGGCUAGAGUCCGGAAGAGGAGAGUGGAAUUCCCGGUGUAGCGGUGAAAUGCGCAGAUAUCGGGAAGAACACCUAUGGCGAAGGCAGCUCUCUGGGACGGUACUGACGCUGAGACGCGAAAGCGUGGGGAGCGAACAGG